rnacentral:rRNA from 1 species
CAAGUCGAGUGCGCGGUGCCGUAGCAAUACGGUACUGGCGCACGGCGCACGGGUGCGUAACACGUGGGUAAUCUGCCCUCUGAUGGGGAAUAACUCGCCGAAAGGCGAGCUAAUUCCGCAUAACAUUCCUUGGACUCCGGUUCGAGGAUUCAAAGGCGUAAGUCGUCGGAGGAGGAGCCCGCGCACGAUUAGCUAGUUGGUGAGGUAAUGGCUCACCAAGGCUUUGAUCGUUAGCUGGUCUGAGAGGAUGGCCAGCCACACUGGAACUGAGACACGGUCCAGACUCCUACAGGAGGCAGCAGUGGGGAAUCUUGCACAAUGGGCGAAAGCCUGAUGCAGCGACGCCGCGUGGGGGAUGAAGCUUCUCGGAGUGUGAACCCCUUUCGACCGGGACGAAUACCUCGCAAGAGGGGUGACGGUACCGGUAUAAGAAGCCCCGGCUAACUACGUGCCAGCAGCCGCGGUAAGACGUAGGGGGCCAGCGUUGCUCGGAAUUACUGGGUGUAAAGGGUUCGUAGGCGGUGUGGCAAGUCGGGAGUGAAAUCUCUGGGCUUAACUCAGGGGCUGCUUCCGAAACUGCCGUGCUAGAGUGUGGGAGAGGCGCGUGGAAUUGCAGGUGUAGCGGUGAAAUGCGUAGAUAUCUGCAGGAACACCCGUGGCGAAAGCGGCGCGCUGGACCACUACUGACGCUGAGGAACGAAAGCUAGGGGAGCAAACAGGAUUAGAUACCCUGGUAGUCCUAGCCCUAAACGAUCAGGACUUGGGGUGCCACCCGUUCGGGUGUCGUCCCGGAGCUAACGCGUUAAGUCCUGCACCUGGGGAGUACGGUCGCAAGACUGAAACUCAAAGGAAUUGACGGGGGCCC